GUCACCUAGGCCAGCCCCCUGCACAGAGGCAGAACCUAAACCAUCCCUGACACCAUCCCAGGUGUUUGUCUAAUCUGCUCAUAAAAAAACUUCCAAGGACUAGGAUUCCUCAACCUCAGUGCUUAACUAUACUUACAAUAGUCCCCCUCCCUCCCAAAGACGGUAUAGGGAGAAUAUUGAAGAUUUAUGGAAUUGGAAAUCCUUGACUACAGUGGUAUGAACAAUGAAGCUUUAAUAAUGGUUUUUAAAAUGAAAUACUGUCUGAAGAAAUACAGGAAUCUCCACAAAGGAUGCACUACCUACAUCUUUGUAAAGUUCCAGGGUUACUGGCCUAGUGCAAGGGGGAAAGCUGAAGAAUUGGAGUAAAUCUAAAGGAGAGCUACAGAAGAAAGAGGUCAAGCUUUCUAAACUUUUAAGAUGAGCAAAUAUUAUAAAAAAUGGAUAUGUUUAGUCUGCAGAAAAGCAUACCGGGGGGUACCUGGUAACAGUCUUCAAAUAUGUUAAGAGGAGUUACAAAAAAGAAC